rnacentral:rRNA from 1 species
UACGGAGGGGGCAAGCGUUGUUCGGAUUGACUGGGCGUAAAGGGCGCGUAGGCGGAUGUGUAAGUUGGGGGUGAAAGGCCUGGGCUCAACCUGGGAAUUGCCUCCAAAACUACACGUCUUGAGUUCGGAAGAGGAUGGCGGAAUUCCCAGUGUAGAGGUGAAAUUCGUAGAUAUUGGGAAGAACACCAGUGGCGAAGGCGGCCAUCUGGUCCGACACUGACGCUGAGGCGCGAAAGCGUGGGGAGCAAAC